rnacentral:rRNA from 1 species
GACGAACGCUGGCGGCGCGCUUAACACAUGCAAGUCGAACGGAAAGGCCUGCUUUCCCUUGUGGAUUGCGGGUACUCGAGUGGCGAACGGGUGAGUAACACGUGAGUGAUCUGCCCCCAACUUGUGUAUAAGCCUGGGAAACUGGGUCUAAUUCCCGAUAGGACGGCAGGGUGGUGCCUGUGGUGGAAAACGAUUUUCUAGUGGUUGGGGAUGAGCUCGCGGCCUAUCAGCUUGUUGGUGGGGUAAUGGCCUACCAAGGCGGCGACGGGUAGCCGGCGUGAGAGGGUCGACAGCCAAAUUGGGACUGAGAUACGGCCCAGACGCCUACGAGAGGCAGCAGUGGGGAAUAUUGCGCCAUGGGCGGAAGCCUGAUGCAGCGACGCCGCGUGGGGGAUGACGGCCUUCGGGUGGUAAACUCCUUUCGACCGCGAGGAAGCCACCUGGUUGGAAGGGUGGUGACGGUAGUGGUAGAAGAAGCACCGGCUAACUACGUG